rnacentral:lncRNA from 1 species
AUAAUAAAAUAUGUAUGUGUAAUUAUAAAUAUCUUGGGUGACUAAACUCAAUCCAUCUUGAUAGUUCUAUGCAGUUUUUUUAAUUGUUGACAGGGACUUGUUAAGGAACAAUUCAAUUCUUUUUGAGUUCAAUGACUACACAGAAGUCAAACGAAGGCUUUGAUAAUUAUUUGACCAAGUGGGAGAAUGUUAGAUGUUUUAUGUCUUAAAUCACUUUAAUGUGGUCUUCUA